AUGCUCACAGGUCGUCCUGCGGAGGAAAUGCCCGCUUCUAUGGGUGACCUUCUUCCCGAGCUGCUGCAACUGCACGAACGAGUUCAGCAGGUGAUGAAAGGCGUCGCCCAGGCCUUGUGGCCAUCUAUCUCGCUGCCCGAAAGCCUUGGAGAGCUUGCAGAGAGGCUUCAGGGAGCACGGCGGCACUUCCGGUUAUGGAAGAUAUCGGCCUGCCGUCAAGGCGCCAGGGAGGCCUGGGCCAUGGUGAAGACGCGGUACACGAAGGCUGACCCAAACCACAUGGCCGAGGUCAGACCUGUCAGACCCGAUGGGAAGGAGAUCCCUGUGAGCUUAGUGUACGACCAAGUAGAAUUGGCCGCAAAGUAUUCCCAGAAGGACUGUAAACUAGACAGCCUAUUAGAUGGCAUUGAAGAGGAAUACAAUCAGUCAAGUUGA
rnacentral:rRNA from 1 species